UUCGAUUCUGGCUCAGGAUGAACGCCUGGCGGCCGUAGCCUAACACAUGCAAGUCGAACGAAGCAUAUUUAACGGAGAUUCGUCGAAGCUGGAUAUGACUUAGUGGCGGACGGGUGAGUAAUGUAUGAGCAACCUGCCUUUCAGAGGGGGGACAACAGUUGGAAACGACUGCUAAUACCGCAUAACGUAUUUGGGUGGCAUCACCUGGAUACCAAAGGAGCAAUCCGCUGAAAGAUGGGCUCAUAUCUGAUUAGCUUGUUGGCGGGGUAACGGCCCCACCAAGGCGACGAUCAGUAGCCGGACUGAGAGGUUGAACGGCCACAUUGGGACUGAGAUACGGCCCAGACUCCUACGGGAGGCAGCAGUGGGGAAUAUUGGGCAAUGGGCGAAAAAGCCUGACCCAGCAACGCCGCGUGAAGGAAGAAGGUCUUCGGAUUGUAAACUUCUUUUAUGAGGGACGAAGGACGUGACGGUACCUCAUGAAUAAGCCACGGCUAACUACGUGCCAGCCGCCGC
rnacentral:rRNA from 1 species